UCGUUGCCUUCGGAAAACACGACCGGUGCACGCGUGACAGAAUGCUACCGGGGAGGUGCUUGCCGCCUCCUCGGCCCCACCGGCCUCGUCUCUCUCGCCCUCUCAGUGGGCGCGUCGGAUGCUGGCCGGAAUACGGCGCGGGAUGACGCCAAGGAACACGAAAAUGCUGAGGCAUCGGCGAGCCGCUCGAGGGCUGCGCCGGUUGCCAAGGCCAAUGAAAAAA
rnacentral:misc_RNA from 1 species